GUGUCGCCCUCCGCCGCUCGGGGGCAGGAUGAGCUGCUGGCUCGACAGCAGCGGCCCGCACGCCUCUCUUGGCGGAGGCAGGCGGAGGCGGGCCUGCGGCGUCCUCUUUCAUUGGCCGGGAGAGGGCGCUGCCAUGUUGGAGGAAGCGGUGCCUUCUGUGUGGUGGAAACGCCGUGGCUUCACCCAUAGCGUUGGGGAGCGCAGCCUCCUACCUUUCCUCCUCGAUCAAGUGUCGGUGCUGAGAGGCGGCGACUGGCGGGAUAGAGAGAAGUAAGAUGAACCUGCCCAAGGCGCCGGACACGCUCUGCUUCGACAAGGACGAGUUCAUGAAGGAAGAUUUCGAUGUCGGUCACUUUGUGUCUGAAUUUAGGAAGCGUGUCCAGCUGGAGGAACUAAGAGGAGAUCUGGAACUCUACUAUAAACUUCUUAAAAUAGCCAUGGUUGAGCUCAUCAACAAGGCUUAUGCAGAUUUUGUCAACCUUUCCACAAACUUGGUUGGCAUGGACAAAGCCCUCACUGAACUUUCUGUGCCUUUAGGACAGUUACGAGAAGUUCUGGUAAGUCCCCAAUUAAUGAAAACAGUCUGCUGUGAGGCCUGUUGUCCUCGUCGGCUUUUCUCUAAGAAUUCUUUUCAUCUGUUAGUUUGGUGGUACUGGUGGUUGUAUUUUAACGGUUCAUGAUUAUAAUAUUCACCUUCAGAAGAGUUGUAAAUGAUUUUGUUUUUGCAUAUGCUAAAAACCUAAAAAAACAUGUUCGAUUUGAAGAAGACAUAUUCUCAGUGUAGACAACCUUAAAAUGUCAGGGGAGAGGAAGCAUAUUUCCAAAUUUAACUUAUUAAUACCACUUUGGUCAUAUGUAAGUGGUUUCUAACUUAUGAAUGACUUAUAUUUUAACAGUUUGUAAUCUUGUAAAUAUCCCCCCCACCCCACGUAAUCUACGUGUGGUUAGGUUCCUGGGCUGAUCUACAAAAACUGUGUAAUCACUAAUGGAACUGAAAGAUAACAUAAAUAAAAUGUAAUACUUAAUAAAUGUUACAUUUGCAUGUUCUCAGAAAAAUCUCUGUUGUGGGAAUGGGACUCCCCACCUCUAAGCCAUUGGGAAUAGGAACUCCACCUGGGUGAACAGUGGAGGGGCAGUUGUGGCAUCACUUCUAACAGAAAACUGUGCUGCCCUGUCUCCCACCCCAGAACCCCCCGUCUGUGUCUGGUGCCCUGACUUACAGCUUCUGUCCGUUCUGAUGCCCUGUCGUAAAAUUGUCAUAAACGACACCAUCCUUCCUUGUGUGUCUCCUCUAGCUUGAGUGGCCUCGUGCGUCCCUCCCCUAAGACAGUGCCUGCAUCCUAGAGAGAAUAUAAGGAGAACAUAAUUUAAGGGAAGACACAGUACAUGGUUAGAACCAAGAAAAAUGCGGAGUAAUGGAAAUAUCAGUGCUGAGAAGCCUAGGGGAGGGGCAGGCAAGAAAGAGUUCAUGAAACAGUCUCAGGUCAUCAGUCAGUGAAGGAAUUCGGGCAGUAGAUGAACGAAUGUGUAAACAAGAGGACAUAAGGAAGAAAAAGAUGUGUGUGUUGAGGCUUAUACAAAUUAUUUGAUCAGUUGAAAAGAUUGAAAAAAUCUUAAAUUCACAAAGUUCUAAAGAAACCUCUGCACUAGAAGCAAGCAGCCCUUCUGCAGCCCGUGUGUCUCCAGCGGCUCUGCUUCGCUGCGGCCCUUGGCAGCACCUGUAGCCCCUCCAGCCAUGUCCACGUUCGGCCUCUGGGGAGCUGGCCCUCCAGUGUUCUUCCCGUCUUUGCUGUUGCUGCUGUGCUCCUUGGAUAGAAACACCUCAGUGAGCUCUGUGUCUACAAUCCUGUCCCUUUGCAACACUCCUUGAUAAACAGACAUUGUGCGCUUUCUUGCUCAGAAUUACCUUGGAGGACUUUUUUCUCCAGAAGAGCAGCUCUGAGCUCUGGAGUCAGGAAAGCCAGAGCAGCGUCAGCACACGCCCUCUCUGGACUAGACAGAUUUUGGAGAGAAUUGCCACAGAAUUUAACCAGUUACAGUUUCAUGCUGUUCAGAGAAAGGCAUGCCUCUUCUGGACAAAGUAAGACCAAAGACGGCAUGGAGUAUUCAGAUUCAUUGGGAUAAUUCCUGAUUCCGUGUUUUGCUGCCCUUAAUCUGGUUGGUGUGCUUCAGUUGCCUUGCCACCUAGCCUCUCCAUGUGAGAGUCAUGGCUGGAUUGGAUUUCCGAGCUCCUAUGGCUCCUAUGGCUGCAGCAGGGAGCUCAAAGAAGUGAACUUUCACAUCAGUUCUGUUGCAAAUGGGGCAGAGGGCACAGCUGAGGACAGAGUGGAAACCAGUGAGGGAUGAAACUAUGCAAGUUUGUGUGCGCUCAUCACAUGUCCCUGUGAGAAGAGGAAAACAAAUGGGACUGUGAAGAUUCACACAGCUAUGGUUUAAAAAUCUGUGUUUGUCCUUAGGUCAUGUUACACUUCAGUGCCUCAGGUUCUUUGUCUGUAAAAAUGGGUUCCCACAUUUUUCUGUUUCUACUUUUAACUUGGUAGCUUGUACUGGAGAACAAUUUGUCUACAUGUUUACCCCAGUUCCUUCUAAGGACUUUCAGGCAAAUUACCAAAAACAUGAAUAAUUAAGAUAAAACAAAUUUUUAAACUCAAAGAAAAAUGAAAAUGAAGUAUUCAACCACAGUGAAAGUGAGCACGUAGAAACAUAUGCAUGCAGCAAGGACUUGAACAAUUCUUAAAGUUGUGCUAUUAGCUCAGAUCAGAAUUUCCCAGAAGCUAAUGCCGAUAGAACAACUGGAGGUUAAAAGUUUUGUGUUAUCAAAAAGCACCACUUUCUGGUGCUUUGAAGCAGAAUGCAUUUUUAGUGAGAGUGUAUGGAAUAAACCAAGUGCAUGUUCCCUGCAAAAGGCCGCACACAUUGUUCUGGAUUCAGCAGAAGAGUGGUGCAUGACACUGCAUCACGACUGUGUGAACAGCUCUUCAACCUGUAUUCUUUUGUAGCUAGCCAUUGUAAACAUAUGUGGCAGAUUUGAUGACAUCUCCACAAUUAAUAUGCUAGAGACAAACUUUCAAAGUGGCUAUUUCUAAUAGCAUUCAUCACAAUAUUCAGCUCUAUAUUUAGUUGUGACAACUUUCCAAGGUCACUUGUUGAAACCCCUAAGGACAAGCAUAUUAACUUGGGUCUGUUUCUCAAAUAAACACAGGAAGCAUGGCCUCUACCAGAAAAACAUUUCUAAUUUGAAGGAAAAUAAACUAUUUGAUUUUAAAUACCAUUAUGAACAUGUAAGAGAAUGCUUAAGUGACUUUUAUAGUUUGGUAUACACUUUAUUAUCUGUACUCUGCAGGAAAUGUGCUUUCUCCACUCCUUCUUUUAAUAAGAAAGCCACAACAGAGAGUACAUUCCACUUGCUGGCCUUGUGACUCUGAUUUUUCCCACUCCCAUCACAGGAUGCUCAACAGUAUGAAAAAGUCCAUGGUGUUUCACUUAUAUAUGUAGUGAUAAUUAAUAUUGAAUUUAUUUUAUUCCUUUAAGAAAUAUUUGCCAGGAGGCUACUAUUCCAGGUACCAACCUAGGCAUCAAAAAAGAAAUGGAAAGGACAUGGUUAUUAUCUAAUGAUGAUAUACCUUAAACCUGUAAAAUAGUCUUUAAAUGCUAGUUACUAUUGUUAAGUAAUAACUGAUAAUGAGUAAAGGUUAUGGUGAUUAUUAUCUUCCAAACUCUUCUCAUUGCCUCACAGGCGUUUGUAAAAGUAGGUGGCCAAGUUGCUGCAGCUACAAUUUGCUUGAAAUGUAGGAAUCUGUCUUGAUAUAUCUGAGAUUUUGUUUCAUGUCAGAUAUAUCUGAAUUGUGCAUAUCUGUUCAUAAACCAUUCAUGUGGCAUUGUGCUAGGUGAUCUAAUGUAUACAAAAAAUUACAGAAACACUCCAUAUCCUAAUUUGAUGGAACAGAUAUAAUCCCUUUAAAAUGUUAACUAUGAGGAGCCAUGAAAUUACUUAUUUAUCUGAACAUCCUGUGGCUUAUAUAAGGAUGCAGUCUCAGGACAGACUAUAAUUGCAACAUGACUUCCUCUAUGGAUGGAAUCUUUUUAUAAAAAUAGUCUUUCUUUGCUCUGGGCAGAUGCAGCUUUAUACUAAGAUACACAGCUGGAGUAGCCAGCAUGCACGCACUGGAUAGCUUUCCCCACUCACCCUGUUAGCUGGGCAGCUUCAAACAUGUCCCAAAAUGCAAUGAGUUUAUGCAAUCCUGAGUUAAUGCCACUAAAAUGGAUGCCAGAGUAGUAAAAUAUUAAUUAGAAAAUUAGUAAAGUAAUAUUGGCAUUAAGAUAUUCAAAGAACUCCCUUUUGUUUUGUUUCGUUUUGUUUUGUUUCCCUUCCCCCCAGGAAGACUUUAUAAAAGAUGAAGAAAGAGUAAUUGCAUUUUGAAGAAUAGGUAGGAUUCACAUAGGCAGAAAGAAAAGAUAGAGAUAUUUUCAGUUGGGUAGAUGAAACAGAGUGCACAAAAAGUAUGAAGAUUGGAGAGAGAAAUUUGUGAGAACAGCUGGUAAAAGCAUUUGGUUGAAAUUGUUGUAUUUAGUGUGAGAAUUAGGAUAAGAGAAGAAAUACAGUUUGCUGCCAAGUGACAGAGGACUUUGAAUAUUAGAAUAAAGAAUUUAAACUCUACCCUUUGGGAACAACAAAUCACUGAAGCAUUUUGAGAAAAUAAUUGAUAUAACUAAAAGGAAUCAUUUUGGAAAAUGUCAGUACAAUAUAAAAGAAAAUUUUCCACUUAAAAUGAAAAUCAGUAAUGGUUGCUCCUGAGAAAUGCUAAACUGCAGGUUAGGUAAAUAAAAUCAUCUCCAAUUCACCUACAGUGAGGUAAGGAGUACUAAUGUUUUAGUGUACUUAAAUCUAGAUUUGUUCCAUGCAUGUAGUGCAUUUUACAAUUAUAUAAGCAUAUAUGUUAUAAAAAUAUUGUUUCACUGUGCUUAAUAUUUUAAAGAUACUUUGUCAUUGCACUAGAUAAUAUAGAUUUAUAGUUAAUAAGAAACACAUCUAUUGAACUACAUAAAAGUUUUACACACGUG